rnacentral:rRNA from 1 species
UAGAUACCCUGGUAGUCCACGCCGUAAACGGUGGGCGCUAGGUGUGGGUUCCUUCCACGGAAUCCGUGCCGUAGCUAACGCAUUAAGCGCCCCGCCUGGGGAGUACGGCCGCAAGGCUAAAACUCAAAGGAAUUGACGGGGGCCCGCACAAGCGGCGGAGCAUGUGGAUUAAUUCGAUGCAACGCGAAGAACCUUACCUGGGUUUGACAUAUACCGGAAAGCUGCAGAGAUGUGGCCCCCCUUGUGGUCG